GGGGCUGGGCGCCCUCCCCACCCCCACGAGGGCCGCGGCCGUGGGGCGCUGGUAGCUCUCCCGCCCCUCCGCCCUGCACCCCUCCCGCCCUAGGGCUCUUUCCUGGACUGCGGCUGCAGCCUUCUCUUCCCGGAGGGCUCAGAGUUCGUCCCCUUUUCGCGAUUGGGAACGUGGACACGCCGGAGCCUGGAUGCAGAAGGGCGCGCGGGAACAGGGAGCUGGUGCGCGAGCCGCAGCCCAGCGUCCAGGCCGCCCCACUCUCUGCUGAUCCAAAGGACUAGGGAAACCCUGCGCGCCGACGGUGGCCUGGACGUUGGCGCGGGCCCUGGCGCUAAAAAACGGAUCCCAUUUCCAGAAAGGCGGGCCGGGUAUCCCGCUCCUGCCUCCUGGAGAAUUAGCUCGGCGGAGGUCGACCAGCCGGGUAGGGAGGGAGGGAUGGAGGGACAGGCCUAGGGUCGACCAGCCGGAUAGGGAGUAGCUUCUGGGAGCUCCCUUGCCUACGGAGGGCCGGUGAGGCUGCCCUCAGAGCGCCGCCAGCUGCAGCUGAGCCAGAAGCGUCCCCACUGGCUUACCCGAUAGUGGGAUUUUACACGGUGUCGGCUAAGGGUGGCUUUGUGAGAAGACCAUUUCAGAAGAAGAAACGGGGCUCUGGCUGGUGGGGUAGAAACCCCUAUGGAAUGAAAAGUACUCCCAGUCUCUUUGAGGAAGAUUGCAAAGUAAGUUGGGGUGAGGAAGAGUGUGACUUCCCUACCCAGAGUCUGGUUGAGCACGGAUCCCGCCGAGGAGAGAAGGGUCCCGGCCGGGGGGAAGGUCCCUCUUUCUGGGACAAAGCGAUCCUUAAUUGUGGCCACCUUCCAAAGUCCGGGGCGAAUUCGCUACGCGCGUCUGCCCGGGCGGCGCUUGGUGGGUAGUCCCGCUUCCACCAAAACUCUGUGUUUCCUUUCUCUCAAAAUAAAACUCAACAAGCCAUAAAGCUUCCGACGCCGGUGGAGAAGGCGCCGCGGAUUUAUGGCCCCUGAAUUCCCUACUCUCUAAUUAUCCUUGUUUUUACUUGACUUAUGGGUAGUGACCAAUAAAAUCAUUUUCCAUUUUGGA
rnacentral:lncRNA from 1 species